UUCCGGUUGAUCCUGCCGGACCUGACUGCUAUUGGAGUAGGACUAAGUCACGCUAGUCAAAGGUACAGAAUGGAGUACCUGGCGCACGGCUCAGUAACACGUAAUGAAUCUACCCUAAGGACGAGGACAACCACGGGAAACUGUGGCUAAUCCUCGAUAGGAAAUUUGGCCUGGAACGGUAUCUUUCCCAAAACCGGCUCACCGAGAGACACGGGCCUUAGGAUGGCGUUGCGGCCGAUUAUGCUAGACGGCGGUGUAAAGGACCACCGUGGCGACGAUCGGUAUGGGCGAUGGAAGUCGGAGCCCAGAGUCGGCUACUGAGACAAGGAGCCGAGCCUUACGAGGCUUAGCGGUCGCGAAAACUCGCCAAUGCACGAAAGUGUGAGUGGGCUACUCCAAGUGUCAUUCUUACGGAUGACUGUCGCCCAGUUUUACAAGCUGGGAAAGGAAGGAGAGGGCAAGGCUGGUGCCAGCCGCCGCGGUAAAACCAGCUCUUCGAGUGGUCAGGACGAAUAUUGGGUCUAAAGCGUUCGUAGCGGGACAAGUAGGUUCCUGGUUAAAUUCGACGUCAUAAGCGUCGGCAUGCUGGGAAUACCGCUAGUCUUGAGAGCGGGAUAGGACAGGGGUAGUCUAUGGGCAGGGGUGAAAUCCAGUGAUCCAUAGGCGACCACCGAUGGCGAAGGCACCUGUCUGGAACGUAUCUAACCG
rnacentral:rRNA from 1 species